GACGAACGCUGGCGGCGUGCCUAAUACAUGCAAGUUGAGCGCUGAAGGUUGGUACUUGUACCAACUGGAUGAGCAGCGAACGGGUGAGUAACGCGUGGGGAAUCUGCCUUUGAGCGGGGGACAACAUUUGGAAACGAAUGCUAAUACCGCAUAAAAACUUUAAACACAAGUUUUAAGUUUGAAAGAUGCAAUUGCAUCACUCAAAGAUGAUCCCGCGUUGUAUUAGCUAGUUGGUGAGGUAAAGGCUCACCAAGGCGAUGAUACAUAGCCGACCUGAGAGGGGGAUCGGCCACCUUGGGACUGAGACACGGCCCAAACCUCUUCGGGAAGCAGCAGGAGGGAAUCUUUGGGAAUGGAGGAAAGGCUGAACGAGGAAAGGCGGGGGAGGGAAGAAGGUUUUCGGAUCGUAAAAAUCUGUUGGUAGAGAAGAACGUUGGUGAGAGUGGAAAGCUCAUCAAGUGACGGUAACUACCCAGAAAGGGACGGCUAACUACGUG
rnacentral:rRNA from 1 species